GGAUGUUUAGGAAGGUCAAAGGACUGCCAAAAAUCACCAGGGGCUUCCUGAUAUCUACUUUCUCGUUCCUUAGUCAUUUCCUCAAAGACACCUUGUGGUCGGCUUACCUCCUUCGCCACCUUUUUUGAGUUUUCUGGAGUUACAAAUGCAUUUCAACAAUGAUUAAGCCACACUGCAACAGGCACAGAGAACAAAUGAACAACUGCAACGAGAAACUGCUGAACUUGGGUCUGAAAUCCCAGCAUUAACAAAAAAGGUGAAAUCAAUAAUGUUCAAAUGGGCAACAGAAGGGGACUUUUUAUGUUACUUAAAGCUCAGCUGUGUGAAGCCUUUGAGAGAUGGUGCGAUCACGUUGAACUUUCUUGAAUCUUCUACCAGAGGCAAGUGGCUAUCUCCAUUUUUCACAAAGCAUUGCUGUUGAAUUGGAAUGUUCUUUGGAAACGAGCCUGUAUAGUAAACAUGUAUACAUUUAGGACAUUUUUUCGCUGGCAUUAUACUUAAUAGGUGUGAUG
rnacentral:lncRNA from 13 species